CCCGCGGUAGCUCAGCCUGGUAGAGCUUCCGGCUGUAGACCGGAGUGUCGUCGGUUCAAUUCCGACCCGCGGGA
rnacentral:tRNA from 1 species